GACGAACGCUGGCGGCGUGCUUAACACAUGCAAGUCGAACGGAAAGGCCCUGCUUUUGUGGGGUGCUCGAGUGGCGAACGGGUGCGUAACACGUGAGUAACCUGCCCUUGACUUUGGGAUAACUUCAGGAAACUGGGGCUAAUACCGGAUAGGAGCUCCUGCUGCAUGGUGGGGGUUGGAAAGUUUCGGCGGUUGGGGAUGGACUCGCGGCUUAUCGGCUUGUUGGUGGGGUAGUGGCUUACCAAGGCUUUGACGGGUAGCCGGCCUGGGAGGGUGACCGGCCACAUUGGGACUGAGAUACGGCCCAGACUCCUACGGGAGGCAGCAGUGGGGAAUAUUGCACAGUGGGCGGAAGCCUGAUGCAGCAACGCCGCGUGCGGGAUGACGGCCUUCGGGUUGUAAACCGCUUUCGCCUGUGACGAAGCGUGAGUGACGGUAAUGGGUAAAGAAGCACCGGCUAACUACGUG
rnacentral:rRNA from 1 species